UAUUCCCCAGUAGUGCGAUAUUGGAGGAAGAAUUUCUGUCGUGCGAGAUGGAAGUUGGAAGAUGUUACUCUAAGGAGUUUAGCAUCGUGACGUUGGAUCAAUGGUGUUCCCCAGUAGUGCGAUAUUGGAGGAAGAAUUUCUGUUGGGCGGAGAUGGAAAUAAAAAUCAAGAGAAGUUUUGGGGUCCAAAAAAAGAAAAAAAAAGCAACAAAAAAAAGAAUGAAAAU
rnacentral:lncRNA from 1 species